rnacentral:rRNA from 6 species
UUGACCUCGAAUCAGGUAGGACUACCCGCUGAACUUAAGCAUAUCAAUAAGCGGAGGAAAAGAAACCAACAGG